ensembl:snoRNA
UGAACACUUUCUGUGUGUGUUCAACUGGUAGACAAAGGUGAAAAGAUAGGUUCAAAAAUAACCUCUUAUGCAACCCAGAACUCACUGUUCAGUAUGAGUUUUGAUACACACGAGAAGAAAUAUG